ensembl:lncRNA
CGGUCGCUUGCCAAGGAUCUGCCGGGUCUCUGUCCUGGAGGUGAUGGCCGUGAGGAUGCAGCCUGGCUGCUCCCCCAGCUCCUGCUGAACGGGGGGGCGCUGAGAUGCCACCGUGGUGCUGCGCUGCUGCUGCUGCUCCUUUUGGUGAAGGAUUGGAGAGCUGCGAAGAGGAGGUUGAGUAACAGCGGAGGACGUUAAAAACCUAUUGAUUUGCAGCGGAGGUUCCUCGUGUGUUGGGAGCUGAGGGAAAACAAUCUCCAAUCAGAGCCGUGUUUUUAAUGUCCAGAACAAAUAGUCGGUGGUACCUGGAGCUGUGCAGUUCGUGCCAACAGAGAUGUUCUGCAAACGUGCAUUGAUUUAAGCCUGCCGCCGUUGCUGGGAGGUGUCUGCGGCAGUGCUACAAGAUGAGGAGCAGGUGCUGAGCGGGCUCCUCUUUCUGUCUGUUUUCUACAGCUUCCCAAUGCUCUGCAAGCUGCUGCUCGUUGCAGUAUUCAGUUGGUCAGCGUUCACCCCACAGUGCCUCUCCUCCUAGACCAGCUCUUGCAUUUUGGGUCGGUUUUCUUGUUUUUCGGGUGGGGAAACUGAGGCAAGGAACCCUGCUCAUGCCUGGGUUGGUGACGGCCUCCAGGAGAGGAAUCCAGGCUCCCCAUCCAGCAAACCAGGGCAGGAGGUGGAGGAAACCUGCUGAGAGCAACCACUUCUGGGGACGGAUCUGCGGAAAAGAUUCAUUUACCGGAGCAAAGCACGAGCCUGCGCCUGCCUGAGCACCGCAGCUCACGGGGAGAGCUCAGAUCCUGGCUGGAGCCCCCCAGCCUGGGGUGGAGGCUUGCCCCUGAGCCUCCAGUAAAUAAUUUAGGGGGGAUUCCUUCUUUGUUUCCCCUCCUUCCCCUGCACGAGGUCUGCUUCUGGUGUCAAACAGCCAGCUCUCUCUCCUCUUUCCCUGGGCGGAGGGGGCUGCUGCUGGCUGUGAUUUCGUGGCUGUGGGCAUCCAUAGCUCUGCGCAGGAGUCCCUGGGUCCAUCUGGGGUCAGGAGCCGGGGGGCUGCAGAGCCCACCCGAGCCUCCCAGCCUGUCCUCCAGCCAUCCAGGGACCCGGGACGGCAUCCUUCCUCUGCUGGUUCGUAGUCUUACAGGGCUCGAGGAUGGCAGGAGCGGAUCUGGGGCCCCUGGUGAGACUUGGAAGGACAGAGGCCAAGCAUCCAUCUGGCUGUGAGCUCGCUGCUGUCGCCCAGCCCUCAGAGCGCCUCUGGGCCUUGGCACCUCCGAAAACAAGGCAUUUUGUGAACGGUGCGUGGGAUGGGAAAUCGUUGUUUGUGUUCACAGAAGCUGGAGAUCAGAUGCUCUGAGCCGUAAACCAGCCUCAUCGCUCAGGGCAGCGCUGGCAGAGGGAGAAGGGAUCGGAAAAGCAUCUUCUGAAAGCGUUCAGGUAGCUUUCCCUGCCGGAGCAGCCACUGCUGCAGGCUUUUUGGUAGCUACGGCAGUUCUUUUGUGCCACCAGCAGCUCGACAAACCCAAAAUGCACAAACAAGCCUUCUGUAAGGGCUGCGCUAACUCCGUGGAGCUCCCUGCACACCUGCUCCAGCAGCCAGCCGCCCUGCUUUCGGGGACACAAGGGACCAAGCGCUAACAAACACAGACAAGGCUUUGCAGCCAGCAGGCUCGGUCCAGGCACUGAGAUCUUAUUGCCAGUCAGGUGCAGCCUCGCAUUCCUCCACAGAUUAUUUAUCAGGAUAAAUAAUUAUAUAUUAGGGCCACGGUGGAUGCAAAUGACAUAAUUAAUAAUACACGCUUCAAGAGUAAUUUGCAAUUUAAAGUGCUGUAUAAAAGCCUGGUAUUAACAAUACUUAUUUUUAUUUAUUUAUUACUGGCUCUCAAAAUCUCCAUGGUGAAUAAUUUUCCAUCUUUUCCAUUUUUUAAUUUAUUUCUAUGGCUCUGGGGAGAGUACAGGCCACCUUGCAGUGACCUGGUCAGGAAGGGGAUGGGCUGGGACACCCCGAUACACCCUUGGCUGGGUUAUGGCUCUUGGCUGGCCGUUUCUGGAGACCGGUGCCCUUGGGGAUUAGUGUCUGUGAUCUUAUUAAUAGGCUUUGUUCGCUUUUUUAGCUUGUACCAGUCACCUGGGAAUGUUUUGCUGCUCUUUUGAGCUGCGCUUUUGGCUGAUGCUUGGUGAAAGCGUGUUUCCAAAAUAGGGAGGUGGUGCUCGUGCUGACUCC